UAUUGGACAAUGGGGGGAACCCUGAUCCAGCCAUGCCGCGUGGAGGAAGACUGCCCUCUGGGUUGUAAACUCCUUUUAUAUGGGAAGAACCGUCCUCAUUGAUGAGUGACCUGACGGUACCAUAGGAAUAAGCACCGGCUAACUCCGUGCCAGCAGCCGCGGUAAUACGGAGGGUGCAAGCGUUAAUCGGAAUUACUGGGCGUAAAGCGUGCGCAGGCGGUUUUGUAAGACAGAGGUGAAAUCCCCGGGCUCAACCUGGGAACUGCCUUUGUGACUGCAAAGCUGGAGUGCGGCAGAGGGUGAUGGAAUUCCGCGUGUAGCAGUGAAAUGCGUAGAUAUGCGGAGGAACACCGAUGGCGAAGGCAAUCCCCUGGGCCUGCACUGACGCUCAUGCACGAAAGCGUGGGGAGCAAACA
rnacentral:rRNA from 1 species